ACCCCCGGCUCAAGGCACAAGAUAUCACACAAACACAUAGUAAAGCACAGAAGCAGAUGACAUAACAUAAAUACGGCACCCAUAAGGAAUAUAAAACAGAGGAAAGAAGAGGAAAGCACACAGAUUCGUAAUAAGCAUGGAACACUGAAUACGGAAUCAUAACGGGAAUAAAAAAUAAAAAAUAAAAAAAACCCCACCAAGUAAUUCCCUAC
rnacentral:lncRNA from 1 species